CCUACGGGGGGCAGCAGUGGGGAAUAUUGGGCAAUGGGCGAAAGCCUGACCCAGCAACGCCGCGUGAAGGAAGAAGGCUUUCGGGUUGUAAACUUCUUUUGACAGGGGAGAGCAGAAGACGGUACCUGGCGAAUAAGCCACGGCUAACUACGUGCCAGCAGCCGCGGUAAUACGUAGGUGGCAAGCUUUGUCCGGAUUUACUGGGUGUAACGGGCGUGUAGCCGGGCUGACAAGUCCGAUGUGAAAUCUGGGGGCUUAACCCCCGAACUGCAUUUGAAACUGUUGGUCUUGAGUAUCGGAGAGGCAGGCGGAAUUCCUGGUGUAGCGGUGAAAUGCGUAGAUAUUAGGAGGAACACCAGUGGCGAAGGCGGCCUGCUGGACGACAACUGACGGUGAGGCGCGAAAGCGUGGGGAGCAAACAGGAUUAGAUACCCUUGUAGUC
rnacentral:rRNA from 1 species